rnacentral:misc_RNA from 1 species
GGCAUUUGCCAUUAUUGACAUGGUGCGAGGUGGACUUUCAACAUUGAAAAAAUUGCUGACUCAUAUGAUGUAGGCCUCUCCCAAGCCCUAAGAACUACCAAAAAUGUUACAUUUUUGCAAAAUGUGCAUGGACCCCUCCUGUCUCUUGUAGCUUAGGAGGGCCAUACUUCCAAGUUAGCAAAUUAUAUCCAGUCUUCCACCUCAGCUUUGCUUUUGCAUUGGCAUGAGUAUACUCUCAUAACCAAUACAAUACAAUUGAAAAAAUAUCAGUAACUAAUAUUAUAAGUUAGGCAAAUCAAUAAAAUUAAAGGCAUAGGAUAUACUUGAAAAGGCAUGCAAAAUAAAUAUUUUUAGACCAUCAGUGCUUUUUGAUUGGGGUAUAUGCUUUUGGUUCGAAUUCUUUGUGUUGGGGAUGCAUGAAUGAAAUGUAUAAUUUGUUUUGUUGUCCUAUGUACUGCUAUAUGAAUAUUUUGUAAUGCAAAAUAGUAGCAGAAAAUAUAUUUGUAUUGUAUUUGCUCUUCUAAGAUGAUGCCCCCAUGCAUCUUUUGUUAAACUUGUUUUGACAUAUUAAACCUUAUAUUUUGUCUUGGCUUUUGAGAGUUUAGUUUAGUUAGUUACAAGUUGACUGGUUCAGAGACUGAACAUAGCAUCCAUUGUUUGACUAAAAAAAUCCUAUGUGUUGUAGUACAUUAUUUUCAUUCUGGAAUUUUUUAAGCUUAAAUAUUGAUACUGUUGUACAUGCAUCAAUUUUAUCAUUAAGGCACAGGAGCCAAUCAAAACUUUGAUUUCAGUGUGGCUGAAUGAGUAUGGCUCUUGUGGGGUCUUGUAGAAUAAAAGUCCUUAUACAUUUGCAUGAUUGCACUUCAGUAGUUGUUUCAUGGGACAACAUUUUUUGAUGAGUUGAUCUGCUCUGUAUCUCUCAUUGUGUCAUGUUUCUUAGUGCCUUUUAUGAUAGCAUGAAUAAUUCUGUUC